rnacentral:rRNA from 1 species
UGGGGAAUAUUGGACAAUGGGCGCAAGCCUGAUCCAGCAAUGCCGCGUGAGUGAUGAAGGCCUUCGGGUUGUAAAGCUCUUUCGCCUGCGAGGAUGAUGACGGCAGCAGGAGAAGAAGCCCCGGCUAACUUCGUGCCAGCAGCCGCGGUAAUACGAAGGGGGCGAGCGUUGUUCGGAUUUACUGGGCGUAAAGGGCGCGUAGGCGGCGAUGUAAGUCAGGCGUGAAAGCCCCGGGCUCAACCUGGGAGGUGCGCUUGGGACUGCAUUGCUGGAGUUCGGGAGAGGAGCGUGGAAUUCCCAGUGUAGAGGUGAAAUUCGUAGAUAUUGGGAAGAACACCGGUGGCGAAGGCGGCGCUCUGGACCGAUACUGACGCUGAGGCGCGAAAGCGUGGGGAGCAAACAGGAUUAGAUACCCUGGUAGUCCACGCUGUAAACGAUGUGUGCUAGACGUUGGGGAGCCUAGCUCUUCGGUGUCGCCGCUAACGCUGUAAGCACACCGCCUGGGGAGUACGGCCGCAAGGUA